ACAGGUACAGUACAGGUACAUCACAGGUACAGUACAGGUACAUCACAGGUACAUCAAAGGUAUAGUACAGGUACAGUACAGGUACAGUACAGGUACAUCACAGGUACAGUACAGGUACAUCAAAGGUACAGUACAGGUACAUCACAGGUACAUCACAGGUACAUCACAGGUACAGUACAGGUACAUCAAAGGUACAUCAAAGGUACAUCAAAGGUAUAGUACAGGUACA